CACAUGCAAGUCGAGGGGCAUCAUGGUCUUAACUUGCUAGGGUCGAUGGCGACCGGCGCACGGGUGAGUAACACGUAUCCGACCUGCCGUCUACUCUUGGACAGCCUUCUGAAAGGAAAAUUAAUACGAGAUGGCAUCAUGAUUCCGCAUGUUCACAUGAUUAAAGGGAUUCCAGUAGACGAUGGGGAUGCGUUCCAUUACAUAGAAGGCGGGGUAACGGCCCACCUAGUCUUCAAUGGAUAGGGGUUCUGAGAGGAAGGUCCCCCACAUAGGAACUGAAACACGGUCCAAACUCCUACAGGAGGCAGCAGUGAGGAAUAUUGGUCAAUGGGCGAGAGCCUGAACCACCCAAGUAACGAGAAGGAUGACUGCCCUAUGGGUUGGAAGCUUCUUUUAUAAAGGAAUAAAGUCCGGUAUGCAUACCCGUUUGCAUGUACUUUAUGAAUAGGGAUCGGCUAACUCCGUGCCACCAGCCGCGGUAAUACUGAGGAUCCGAGCGUUAUCCGGAUUUAUUGGGUUUAAAGGGAGCGUACAUGGAUGUUUAAGUCAGUUGUGAAAGUUUGCGGCUCAACCGUAAAAAUGCAAUUGAUACUGGAUAUCUUGAA
rnacentral:rRNA from 1 species